GAUGAUGAUUGGUAAAAAAAAAAAUCAAAAAUGUAAUACAAAAGAAUUUAACUUUUUUUUUUUUCAAAAUAUCUUAAUAAAACUAACAAAAAACGAAAAAAAA
rnacentral:ribozyme from 1 species